rnacentral:rRNA from 1 species
UACAGAGGGUGCAAACGUUGCUCGGAAUUACUGGGCGUAAAGCGCGUGUAGGUGGAUUGGUGUGUCAGAUGUGAAAUCCCUGGGCUCAACCCAGGAACUGCACCUGAAACUACCAGUCUUGAGUGGUGGAGAGGAGACUGGAAUUCAUGGUGUAGCAGUGAAAUGCGUAGAGAUCAUGAGGAAGACCAGUGGCGAAGGCGGGUCUCUGGACAGUUCCUGACACUGAGACACGAAGGCCAGGGGAGCAAACGGG